GGGGAUGUAGCUCAGUGGUAGAGAGUCCGCUUUGCAUGCGGAAGGCCCGGGGUUCGAUACCCCGCAUCUCCA
rnacentral:tRNA from 1 species